GGCGGACGGGUUAGUAACGCGUGGGAACAUACCCUUUUCUAAGGAAUAGCCACUGGAAACGGUGAGUAAUACCUUAUACGCCCUUCGGGGGAAAGAUUUAUCGGUUAAGGAUUGGCCCGCGUAAGAUUAGAUAGUUGGUGGGGUAACGGCCUACCAAGUCGACGAUCUUUAGCUGGUUUGAGAGGAUGAUCAGCAACACUGGGACUGAGACACGGCCCAGACUCCUACGGGAGGCAGCAGUGGGGAAUCUUAGACAAUGGGCGCAAGCCUGAUCUAGCGAUGCCGCGUGAGUGAUGAAGGCCUUAGGGUCGUAAAGCUCUUUCACCAGGGAUGAUAAUGACAGUACCUGGAAAAGAAACCCCGGCUAACUCCGUGCCAGCAGCCGCGGUAAUACGGAGGGGGUUAGCGUUGUUCGGAAUUACUGGGCGUAAAGCGUACGUAGGCGGAUUAGUAAGUUAGGGGUGAAAUCCCAGGGCUCAACCCUGGAACUGCCUUUAAUACUGCUAGUCUUGAGUUCGAGAGAGGUGAGUGGAAUUCCAAGUGUAGAGGUGAAAUUCGUAGAUAUUUGGAGGAACACCAGUGGCGAAGGCGGCUCACUGGCUCGAUACUGACGCUGAGGUACGAAAGUGUGGGGAGCAAACAGGAUUAGA
rnacentral:rRNA from 1 species